rnacentral:other from 1 species
ACUUUCUUACUGGUUAAAGAGUUUCCAAUUAAGUAUGAUGUUGUGUUUGCAUAUUGUUUGGUUGUUCCAAACGAAGUAACAAAAGUUACUAUUUUAUUUCCUGUAUAUUAGGCUUAUUCGCCGGACACCGCUCCCUAAAAAGAGCGGUGUUUUUUA